ACGCUCGACACCUACGAGAGGCAGCAGUGGGGAAUAUUGCACAAUGGGGGAAACCCUGAUGCAGCGACGCCGCGUGAGCGAAGAAGUAUUUCGGUAUGUAAAGCUCUAUCAGCAGGGAAGAAAAUGACGGUACCUGACUAAGAAGCCCCGGCUAACUACGUGCCAGCAGCCGGGUAAUCUGAGCGGGCUGGCAAGGC
rnacentral:rRNA from 1 species